rnacentral:rRNA from 1 species
GAUGAACGCUGGCGGCGUGCCUAAUACAUGCAAGUCGAGCGAACGGACGAGAAGCUUGCUUCUCUGAUGUUAGCGGCGGACGGGUGAGUAACACGUGGAUAACCUACCUAUAAGACUGGGAUAACUUCGGGAAACCGGAGCUAAUACCGGAUGAUAUUUUGAACCGCAUGGUUCAAAAGUGAAAGACGGUCUUGCUGUCACUUAUAGAUGGAUCCGCGCUGCAUUAGCUAGUUGGUAAGGUAACGGCUUACCAAGGCAACGAUGCAUAGCCGACCUGAGAGGGUGAUCGGCCACACUGGAACUGAGACACGGUCCAGACUCCUACGGGAGGCAGCAGUAGGGAGUCUUCCGCAAUGGGCGAAAGCCUGACGGAGCAACGCCGCGUGAGUGAUGAAGGUCUUCGGAUCGUAAAACUCUGUUAUUAGGGAAGAACAUAUGUGUAGGUAACUGUGCACAUCUUGACGGUACCUAAUCAGAAAGCCACGGCUAACUACGUG